UUAUCAAAGUUACCGACCGUCCCAAGCGGAAGUGGCAAAAGGUUUGAUGGUUGGUAUCCGAAAUUUUAAGUUCGAAUCCUAAUUGCAUGAUUCAUAUUUUCAGCUAAAUUUAUUUCAAAAAAAAAUAAACGAAGCGGGUAACAUGCUACCAAUCUCUCUCUCUCUCUCAAAAAAAAAAAAAGCCUACCAAAGUUACUAAAUCCAAA
rnacentral:lncRNA from 1 species